rnacentral:rRNA from 1 species
ACGGGGGGUGCAAGCGUUGUUCGGAAUUAUUGGGCGUAAAGAGCGGGUAGGCGGCUGAAUAAGUCCGAUGUGAAAUCUCUGGGCUUAAACCAGGAAGUGCAUUUGAAACUAUUCAACUUGAGUAAGGGAGAGGAAAGUGGAAUUCCUGGUGUAGAGGUGAAAUUCGUAGAUAUCGGGAGGAACACCAGUGGCGAAGGCGGCUUUCUGGCCUGAUACUGACGCUGAGGCGCGAGAGCGUGGGUAGCAAACAG